ACAUCCAGAGAAUUUAGCAGAGAUGCUUUAGUGCCUUCGGGAACUCUGAGACAGGUGCUGCAUGGCUGUCGUCAGCUCGUGUUGUGAAAUGGUUGGGUUAAGUCCCGNAACGAGCGCAACCCUUAUCCUUUGUUGCCAGCACGUAAUGGUGGGAACUCAAAGGAGACUGCCGGUGAUAAACCGGAGGAAGGUGGGGAUGACGUCAAGUCAUCAUGGCCCUUACGAGUAGGGCUACACACGUGCUACAAUGGCGCAUACAAAGAGAAGCGACCUCGCGAGAGCAAGCGGACCUCAUAAAGUGCGUCGUAGUCCGGAUUGGAGUCUGCAACUCGACUCCAUGAAGUCGGAAUCGCUAGUAAUCGUAAAUCAGAAUGUUACGGUGAAUACGUUCCCGGGCCUUGUACACACCGCCCGUCACACCAUGGGAGUGGGUUGCAAAAGAAGUAGAUAGCUUAACCUUCGGGAGGGCGUUUACCACUUUGUGAUUCAUGACUGGGGUGAAGUCGUAACAAGGUAGGCGUAGUGCU
rnacentral:rRNA from 1 species